AACGAACGCUGGCGGCAUGCCUAACACAUGCAAGUCGAACGAGACCUUCGGGUCUAGUGGCGCACGGGUGCGUAACGCGUGGGAACCUGCCCUUAGGUUCGGAAUAACUCCCCGAAAGGGGUGCUAAUACCGGAUAAUGUCUUCGGACCAAAGAUUUAUCGCCUUUGGAUGGGCCCGCGUUGGAUUGCUUGUUGGUAGGGUAAAAGCCUACCAAGGCGACGAUCCAUAGCUGGUCUGAGAGGAUGAUCAGCCACACCGGGACUGAGACACGGCCCAGACUCCUACGGGAGGCAGCAGUGGGGAAUAUUGGACAAUGGGCGAAAGCCUGAUCCAGCAAUGCCGCGUGAGUGAUGAAGGCCUUAGGGUUGUAAAGCUCUUUUACCCGGGAUGAUAAUGACAGUACCGGGAGAAUAAGCUCCGGCUAACUCCGUG
rnacentral:rRNA from 1 species